UACGAAGGGGGCUAGCGUUGUUCGGAAUUACUGGGCGUAAAGCGCGCGCAGGCGGCUAUCCAAGUCAGUGGUGAAAGCCCAGAGCUCAACUCUGGAACUGCCCUUGAAACUGUAUGGCUUGAGUAUGAGAGAGGUGAGUGGAAUUCCCAGUGUAGAGGUGAAAUUCGUAGAUAUUGGGAAGAACACCGGUGGCGAAGGCGGCUCACUGGCUCAUUACUGACGCUCAGGCGCGACAGCGUGGGGAUCAAACAGG
rnacentral:rRNA from 1 species